rnacentral:rRNA from 1 species
AUUGAACGCUGGCGGCAGGCUUAACACAUGCAAGUCGAGCGGGGUGAUGGUGCUUGCACUAUCACUUAGCGGCGGACGGGUGAGUAAUGCUUAGGAAUCUGCCUAUUAGUGGGGGACAACAUCUCGAAAGGGAUGCUAAUACCGCAUACGUCCUACGGGAGAAAGCAGGGGAUCACUUGUGACCUUGCGCUAAUAGAUGAGCCUAAGUCGGAUUAGCUAGUUGGUGGGGUAAAGGCCUACCAAGGCGACGAUCUGUAGCGGGUCUGAGAGGAUGAUCCGCCACACUGGGACUGGGACACGGCCCAGACUCCUACGGGGGGCAGCAGUGGGGAAUGUUGGACAAUGGGGGGAACCCUGAUCCAGCCAUGCCGCGUGUGUGAAGAAGGCCUUAUGGUUGUAAAGCACUUUAAGCGAGGAGGAGGCUCUUUUGGUUAAUACCCAAGAUGAGUGGACGUUACUCGCAGAAUAAGCACCGGCUAACUCUGUGCCAGCCGCCGCCGUAA